UACGUAGGGGGCAAGCGUUGUCCGGAUUUAUUGGGCGUAAAGAGCUCGUAGGUGGUUCGGUAAGUCGGAUGUGAAAUCUCCAGGCUCAACCUGGAGGGGUCAUUCGAUACUGCCGUGACUAGAGUUCGGUAGGGGAGUGUGGAAUUCCUGGUGGAGCGGUGAAAUGCGCAGAUAUCAGGAGGAACACCCGUAGCGAAGGCGGCACUCUGGGCCGAUACUGACAUUGAGGAGCGAAAGCGUGGGGAGCGAACAGG
rnacentral:rRNA from 1 species